rnacentral:lncRNA from 1 species
AAGAAUUCAAGCUCCGCGGGGGCAGGCCAGCAGUGCUGGGGGACCCGGCGCACCCUCCGCAGCUGCUGGCCCGGGUGCUAAACCCCUCACUGCCCGGGCCGGCGGUGCCGGCGGGCUGCUCUCAGUGCGGGACCUCGGAGCCUGCGCCCACCCGGAACUAGCCGCGUUCAGCCCUGGUUCCCGCCCCCGCCUCUCCCGCCACACCUCUCCACAAGCAGAGGGAGCUGGCUUCAGCCUCAGCCAGCACAGAGAGGGGCCCCCAUAGCGCAGUGGCGGGCUGAAGGGCUCCUUGAGCAUGGCCAGAGUGGACGCCAAGGCUGAGGAGGCGCCGAGAGCCAGUGAGGGCUGCUAGCAUGUUGUCACCUCUCAAUACAUAAAACUACUGGAGGGUGGUUCCAAGAUGGCCAAAUAGGAACAGCUCCAGUCUACAGCUCCCAGCAUGAGUGAUGCAGAAGACGAAUGAUUUCUGCAUUUCCAACUCAGAGAGCUGACUUUAGAGGGAUCAAGAAUAGCUUGCUGGAUGGAAGGAGCUUGGGGCCAGUCAUCAUCUUAAAGGCUCUGUGGCAGCUUGGACUUGAAGUAGGGUGCACCCGGAAUUGACCAAUACAAACAGUGGACUGCACUGGAUUCUUCUUGUGCCCUGUCUCAUAUCCUCUUGUCCCACCUUUUCAUAACAGCCAUUGCCAUGGGAACCAGCUGCAUCCAGGCUAGAGCAAAAGGAGGUACAAAACCAAAUGCUAAGAAGCUGCUGCAUUUACUGAGAUAACCGUCUUCAGCUAAUGUGAAGCACCUACAACUUACAUAGAGGACUGCAGUAAAUACCUUAAAAACACAACCUCAUUCCAACCACAAGAAUCCAAUCAGAGAGGUAA